rnacentral:lncRNA from 1 species
UUAUGACACUAAAUUUCCAUCUAUGCACCUCGUAAAAGAGGAAAUUAAAACUUUAUUGGGAAACUUUCUUCAGUUGGCAAGUUUCUGUGGUUAAAGCCAAUGAAAGGAUCCAAAUCUACGGACACCUCAGUUCACGUCGGACCAUUCACAGCAGCAGAAGGGCAGGAUCGGCUGUAGAAAAGGAGACUGAAGAGUUUUCUGCCCCUGCCCAGGGGAGCAAGGUUCCAUGUAGAAGAACCAAUGUGUGCCCAAGAGGCACAGCUGCUAGACCACAGUUCAGAGCCAGAGAAAUUACUUCCACCUCUACCCUACCCUGGCAGCCACUCGAAUUAGGAAUACUGACAUGUUUACAGACAUUAUGGAUGUGACCGAUUUGGGGAUCUUAUGGGCGGUCCAUAAAUUUACAGAAAGUUGACAACACCAUUGUCCCGGAAUACUAUGGGACUUGAUACCUAUAUUUCCUUCCCCAAACUCAACUGGCCUCUUACCAAGAGGAAAGGGAAAGGCCUAGUGGAGAUAAGAUUAAUGACUUUGGAAACCCAUGCCACUAGCGCCACCUCGGAGCCCA